GACAAUGUGGUGUAGUGGUUUGCGUGUUGGACUAUGACUUUGGAGAGCAGGGUUCGAAUCCCUGCUCGACCA